GCGCCUGUAGCUCAGUUGGAUAGAGCAACGGACUUCUAAUCCGUAGGCCGCAGGUUCGAAUCCUGCUAGGCGCGCCA
rnacentral:tRNA from 1 species